rnacentral:lncRNA from 1 species
CCGGGGGCCCCAGGAGGGCAUGGGGGCUCCAGGGUGCAGGGACAGCACGUUCCCUCACCAACUCCCCAAGAACGCCCAACCUCCAAGAGCAGACACAGCGCCUACACCUGCCGGUACGGGGCUCCAACCCCACUCUCUCAGAUACGUCCUCCAGAGUCGUCUCAUCCACCCCACCCUGGGGAGGAGGGAAACUGAGGCAUGGCAAGAGACAAGACUAACACAGGCAUCAGUGAGACUCAGCCCCUCCUGCCCCUUCCUCCAUGCCCCUCCUACCCCGACUUCAGCUCCCACACCAAGGCCCCAAGCCUGACAUAGGGCCCCAGGUGCCAGGCCUCAAGGGGGCUGAAGGGAGCCCAUCUGCCCCACCGAGGGCACAGACAGUGCCAGGUCUUUGCUGAAAUGUCACCUCUUCCUUGAGGCCUUCUCUGAUUGCUGAGUAAGCCCUGUCCCCGCUCCCUGCUCCCCGUAUCCGCCCGCCUCGGCCCUCCGUCCCUUUUCUCCCUUCUCUGUGGCCUGCCCGCUCUCACAGAAUGCAGACUCCAGGGGUCCAGGGUGUUACCUCCCGGGCAGCAGGAGGAAAUGUCCUGGGCUCCCCACCCAGCGCUCAGCGCCCCCCGCUAAGUACAGCACUCACUCCUUCAUCCAUUCAGCGUGGGCUCUCCCGGCACCAGCACCGCCAGGCCCUGUGCAGGACCCCAGGGUCAUCAGGAAGGAAAUGAGGCAGCCCAAGGAGGCGGGAGACGGGGCCCUACCCAGCACCCAGCCAUCUGCAUUGACACGGCUGCCCGCAGGAUAUCACUGCCCCCAUCCCGGGGCCCACCAUUACCAGCAGGGAGAGGGAGGCAGGUUCAGCAGGGACAGAGCUCAGGGGGAAGGCACCUCCCGUCCUGGUUCAAUACAUGGACCCCUGACCCUGGGAAAGGGACUGAGCCAGGGGAGGCCUCAGGUCACUGCACCAUGAAGUUGUGGGGAGCUGCGGGGGCCUCUGGGCUCCGAGCUGGGCAGGCACAGCGUGGGGACCACGUGCCGAGGGGAAGAAGCGUGCCAGGGUGGACGUCUCAGUGCACACGCAGGAACAUGCAACGGCUGAGCCAGCCCAGAGAGGCAGCGGAGCGUGUGCGGGGCGGCCGGCGGAGGAGCAGCAGGAUCCCAGGCGGGAGCGCACGGCCUUUUCGGAGGCAGGUUCCAGGACAAUACUAAGCGUUUACAUCAUUGCACUAUUUGAUCCAGGAGGUCCCACUGUGGCGUUUCAUCGAUAAACGCACAUGCGAGGUGGAGGGUGGCUGGUGUGGAAUGUGCCCGGCAGCCUUCAUAGCAAAGGAGAAUUCUAGAACCAACCGAAGUGCCCCUCUGAAGGGAGCUGGUCCCGUCCGUUCCAGCCGCCGUGGAGUAACACAGCCAGCAGUUUCCCUCCUGCCACGAAAGCUCGAGACUGAAACUCAGGAUGAACUGUUUUCAGCCCGGGUCACCCCAGCCCUGGGGUGGAGGCCCAUUGAGGAUGGCCGAGCAGGGGCGGGCAUCCAGGCAGGUCCAGCAGUCCUGGCGGGCUGAGGAGAAGGAGGUCAGUGCUCAGGGAGACAUCCGCAGAGGGACCUGGCAGGCAGAGCUCCAGAAGGGAGGGAACUGCACAGACAGAAAGCUCCAGAAGGCUGCCUGAGGGCCUCUGAGGCCUCCGGAGUCAGGCGCCAUGGAUGUGGAAGGUGGACUCUUCAGCAUGGAUGGGACCCUAGGGGGCUGUGGACCCCCGGCCCCUGGGACUCACAGGUGGGAG